GGGCACCCGCCCUCCGAGGGGCCGCGCUUACCCGUCGGGCGAGUACUCGAGGUUGAAGACCGCGCCGUGGGUGCGGGUGCUGAGGUACACCGAGUCCGCGGGAUGGAUGGAACCAUAGAGGGACAGAGAAGCUGUGGAAGCUGUGGAAAGAUGGCAUUGUAAUAAGCAAAGAAGGCUCUGAAUUCCAAUGGCCGGAAGAAGCAAGGUACCUCUCACACUUGUUUAAGCAGCUAGCAUGUAUCUCAGUGGUUCUAUCUCCACACCAUAUUAUAGUGCUAAAGGAAACUAUAAACAAACUUCACAAGUGUGCAGAAGACUGAGUGACAAGGAAGGGUCCCAGAACAUAAGAGCCUGUCCCUAAGAGGAAAAAAGCACGUCCUUCUGACUGGGAUACAACGAGACCCCAAAGAAGGGUCUGUCCACAGGAAAACUUGGGCAGACUAGGGCAACCAGUUCCAGGGAUUCCACUGAAGCCGACACAGCCUGCAUGGACUGACUCCCUGCAUGAGGGGAGGAUCUCACCUUCUUUUCUACCUCCUCCGUGAGCUCUACAAUGUCAAAA